GCUUGUCUCAAAGAUUAAGCCAUGCAUGUCUCAGAAUAAAUCUCUAUACGUUGAAUCUGCAAAUGGCUCUUUAAAACAGUUAUUGUUUACUUGAUGGUCAUUCCUUACAUGGAUAACUGUGGUAAUUCUAGAGCUAAUACAUGUGCCCAAGCCCGACUCCGUGGAAGGGUUGUGUUUAUUAGAUUAAAGACCAAUGCGGGCUUGCCCGGUAUUGUGGUGAAUCAUAAUAACUCCUCGAAUCGCAUGGCCUUGCGCCGGCGAUGUUUCAUUCAAAUUUCUGCCCUAUCAAUUUGAUGGUAGGAUAGAGGCCUACCAUGGUGGUAACGGGUGACGGAGAAUUAGGGUUCGAUUCCGGAGAGGGAGCCUGAGAAACGGCUACCACAUCCAAGGAAGGCAGCAGG
rnacentral:rRNA from 1 species